rnacentral:rRNA from 1 species
UAGGGUUCGAUUCCGGAGAGGGAGCCUGAGACACGGAUACAUAUACCAAGGAAGGCAGCAGGCGCGCAAAUUUACCCAAUCCCGACCGGGGAGGUAGUGACAAUAAAUACUGAUACAGGGCCCUUUCGGGUCUUGUAAUUGGAAAUGAGUACCAUUUAAAUCCAUUAACGAGGAACAAAUUGGAGGGCAAAGUCUGGUGCCAGAAAGCCGCGGUAAUUCCAGCUCCAAUAGCGUAUAUUAAAAGUUGUUGCAGUUAAAAAAGCUCGU